UUUUAAUUGUUGCAGCUUCCUUCAUCAUUUCAUGACUGGAAUUAAGUAUUACUUUUCAGCCUUCUUGGGAUUUUUUAGAGGUUUCUUAAAAAUAAAAAAUAAAAAUCUGAAAAGAACGGUUUAUCUUCAAGGGAUUAUUUGAUUAACUUAUUAUUUUUUUUUUUUACAAAUAGUUACAAGUAGAACAUGAUUAGUCUGUCAUCAUCAACUCAUAAACACUCCCAUCAUCUUGUAAAUUUUGUGUUGUCUUCACAAUCACAGUCAGUUUCUCAAUGGAUACCUUCAUUCUAUCCUAACUCUUCCUUUUGAAGAUAAGUAUUUCCAAUCCAUUGAAUUAUUUAUCUUUUCAUGCGUAACAUUGUUUAUUGAUGAUGCAUGCUGUCCUUGGUUUCAGUCUCCUUGCUAAGUUCUCAUAAACAGAUUAUCAGCGCAAGAUACUUUUCCAUUUAUUGUUGGGAUGCUAGUUAUUGGCAUUGUGUGACAAAAAAACUAUCGAAAACUGAAUGAUGACAACAAGGGAAUCAUUCUUCAACUAAUAUGUUCAAUGUCUUUCGAAAAAAGCAUGUCAUCUUCAAAAACACUGCUAAAACAUCGGAGGGACAGAGACGGCUUCCAUGGACUAUAUACAGCUGUGUCUUUUCUGGUAUCUUGAUUCAAAAUUCAGCAUUCGGGAUCAACUCGCCGGUAACAUGAUCAGUUCGCGUCCUCUACCGACUGGCAUGGAUAAUCCACUACCAUGGUUUGCAUACUUAUGCACCCAAAAACCUUCUGUUAGAAAGACAUGAAAGGUUUUUUGAAUAUCAAACCAGGGUAAAUAAAGAGUUAAAAGUAUAUAUAUUUAGGGAGAAGAAUAGUAAAAGCAUGAUCUUUAUAGUUCAUGUCUAUCCUCAACUGAUGGUCAGAGUUUGUGGAUCUUAUGAUAUGGCCAGUAAAACAAAUCUUUAAAUCUAUCUAAUUUAAGGUUUUCCUUUUUUGGGAUUUUCUCUGCUAUAUAUUAUUUCUUGAGCAAAUCCCGGGCUGUA